rnacentral:rRNA from 1 species
UUGCGGCAUGGGAUGGGGUCGCGUCCUAUCAGCUUGUUGGCGGGGUGAUGGCCCACCAAGGCGUUGACGGGUAGCCGGCCUGAGAGGGUGACCGGCCACAUUGGGACUGAGAUACGGCCCAGACUCCUACGGGAGGCAGCAGUGGGGAAUAUUGCACAAUGGGCGCAAGCCUGAUGCAGCGACGCCGCGUGCGGGAUGGAGGCCUUCGGGUUGUAAACCGCUUUUGUUCAAGGGCAAGGCACGGUUUCGGCCGUGUUGAGUGGAUUGUUCGAAUAAGCACCGGCUAACUACGUGCCAGCAGCCGCGGUAAUACGUAGGGUGCGAGCGUUAUCCGGAUUUAUUGGGCGUAAAGGGCUCGUAGGCGGUUCGUCGCGUCCGGUGUGAAAGUCCAUCGCCUAACGGUGGAUCUGCGCCGGGUACGGGCGG